rnacentral:rRNA from 1 species
UACGAAGGGGGCUAGCGUUGCUCGGAAUCACUGGGCGUAAAGCGCACGUAGGCGGACUCUUAAGUCGGUGGUGAAAUCCUGGAGCUCAACUCCAGAACUGCCUUCGAUACUGAGAGUCUCGAGUCCGGGAGAGGUGAGUGGAACUGCGAGUGUAGAGGUGAAAUUCGUAGAUAUUCGCAAGAACACCAGUGGCGAAGGCGGCUCACUGGCCCGGUACUGACGCUGAGGUGCGAAAGCCAGGGGAGCAAACGGG